CGAAUGAAUUGAAAAAAACAACCAGUGAUAAUAAUUUUUUAUUUGAAGAAUUAAAAAAUGUUAGUGAAAACGAUUUUAUAUUUUUUGAUAAUAGUAAUAAUGAAAAUAGCGUGACAAGUAGUGCUGAAGAGUAUAGUGGUGAAAAAACAGACAGUAGUGUACAAAUUAUAGAAGAUGUAAAACAUGACAAUAAUAGUUAUAAUAAAAGUAAUAGUAAAGUGGGUAAGAACAAAAAUAGAAACAGCUGUAACAAAAGGCGUAGUAAUAAAAACAUAUCAUCUGCUAAGAAACGCGUCAAAAAUUGUGAUAAUGGAGAAUUUAAAAAUGAUAACAAACGAUGCAUACAUGAAGAGAAAGAAAAUGAUAGUGAUAAUUUAAAAUUCAAUAUAGAACAUAAACUAUUGUAUAAAGAAUUGAAAAAAAAAAAUAUGAAAAAAAAAAUCGAGGAAAACAAGUUAAUUGGUUAUAUGUUAUGCUGGAUUAGUCACAUAUAUUUUUUAAAUAAUAUAUGUAAAAAUAAGUUAUUGCAGGCUUUAAUAUAUUCUGUUUAUGUUAAUUAUGAUAAAGUAUAUUGUAACAAAUUAUAUAAAGACCCUAUAUAUUUAUUUUUAUUUAUUAAAAACAAUUUUGAAUUAAUUGCAGAUAGUCAAUCUUGGGUUGCCGGUGAUAAAAUUUUAUCAAAAAACAUCAAAGGUUCUUUUAUUUUUCGCAUAAUAAGAAGUAUACAUAGAAAAAAAGCUAAUAAUGUUAUUCUGAAUUUACUUUUUAUUUGUUUAUGUAGAUGUUUAAAGAUACCUAGUCGUAUUUGUAUAACAUUACCAAAAUUACCAAAUCAGGUGAGUGUUCAUAAAAAUAAUAAAUUUUUAAAAAAUUAUGUAGAUACAUAUUAUAAUGAUAUGAAAAAGAGCUUUUUUUUUAAUAAUUAUUUGGAAUCGGUUAUAAGUGUUAAUAAUACUACGAUUAGUUCUGUUAGUGCCGAUGACACAUUGGUAAAUUGUCAAGAUGGUACUAAUAAUUCUCACCAGGAUGUUAUUACUAUUACAAGUGAUGAUGAUGAUGAUGAUUAUUGUGAUGGUAAUAAUCAUAGCGAUGUAAAUGUUAGUACUAAAACUGGAAUAGGUGACAGUGUCCGUAAUAGAAAAACAAAAAACUUUAACAACAAAGAUGAAACAAUACAGUUUCAUAUAUUCUCGGAGUGCUAUUCUUCAAGUUUUAACAAAUGGAUUUCUUUCUUUUUUUGUUAUAAUGUUUAUUAUUUUAAUUUUUUUGAUUUUUCAAAAAAUGAUAAUACUCAAAAUUGUGAAAGUAAAUUAUAUCACAUAUUAUUACCCCUACCAAAAAACCCAGAAGAAAUAAAGACUUAUAAAAAGGAAAGGGUAAUUAAUUCGUUGCGCGCGUUUAAUCAGUUUCUUUUUAUGAGUAGCAAGCGAGUUGUCCACCGGGGUAGUAGUGAUAAUAGUAGCGACAAUAGUAGUAAUAAUAUUUGCGACAGUAGCGGAAGUAGUGAUGAUUACAUCGACACUCCCAAUAAAAGAACAAAGCAAAAAAAAUCAAAAAACGUUGAAACUUUCAAAUUAAAUAAACAUGAAGACAAAGUAGAGUGUGGAGAAAAGAAUUUUGAUAAUUUAAUAAACGAAAAAAUAACUUGUUUUGAUGAACCUACUCAAAAAAUAACUUGUUUUGAUGAACCCAAGUUAUUCGAAUCAUUUUCUACAAGUGAUAUACCAAAUGUAAAUUCGGAUUACUCAAGCAAAUUUAAAAUAUUAAACAACCAUGAUGAUAAUAAUAUUAGUAUAGAUAAAAUGUAUUUUCAAAAAGGUAAUAAACUUUUUAUAGUAAAUCAAAGAAAUAAUAAGAUUAUACGAGUUGUAUAUAUGAUGGAUGGUAAGGGCACGGGUGUAGCUACUGGUAGAAGUGGAAGUAAGAGAAGUAAUAAUAAAAAAGGAAUAGAAGCAAAUAAAAUAUUAUUCGAUUUUGAAAAAGAAGAAGAUCGUAAUGAUAUAGUUACUUCGUUAGCUAGUAUUUACAGUCCCAUGAGUAAAAAAAAUUUAUUAUCAAGUCAAAUUUAUGAAACAAAAAUAGGAAAUAUAAAAUUAAAAAAAAAAACUUUGACUAUAAAUAGUGGUAAAAGCUUUUUAAAUAACAAUCGUAUAAAUGUCAACUCGAACAAUAAUAUGAAGAUGGUCUACGGAGAAAUUAUGUAUGACGGGUUUGGAAACGUGGACAAUACAAAUUCGUUUUCAAACAAGUAUAUUAAAAUACUUAUAAAUAAUAAUGUUUAUAAAUAUUUUUAUACGCUUGAUCAUUAUAAUUUGUAUAUAGCUAUUAAUGAAAAAAACAUGCUCAAAGAUAUAAGUCUUAGACACAAGAUUAGAUACAUUCAUAAUAAUACUAGUGGAAAUGCUAGUAGCAUGUCAUGUGGUAGCAAAAAGGGAACGGAUGUAAGUUUUUUUUGUAAAAACAGAGAAUCAAAUAUUGUUCGAUCUAAUUUUAGAAACAUAGUAUAUCAUCAUAUAAACUGUAACAGAUGUGGUAGUAACAGUAACAGUAACACCGAUGAUUAUAGCAAACUCGAACAAACUUCCAAAAGUUAUGAUUUUGAACACAUUUUAGACAAUUUAGAUGAUGAUUAUAUGUACAAACUAUUUGUUGUUAAUAUGAUACCAAAAGAAAAAACUGAUUUUAUAAAGUCCAAAUAUUAUACUCUAAAAUCAUUACUAAAAAAAGAUCAAGUUAUAUAUCCGAACAUAUCGGUUGGCUUGUUCAGAGGAGAAAAUGUAUAUUUGAAAGAAAAUAUGUAUAAUUUAAUGAGAAGAAACUAUUUUGAAAACCAAAAAGAUUACAUUAGUGACUCUGAACAGCCAUUGGGAUAUGAUUAUGAUGAGCAUAGUCAUAUAAAAGUACCACUUUAUGCUAAAUUUCAGGUAAAAAGGAGACCCACAGUAAGUAACACUACACAUAAAUGUAUACAUAAUGAUAAUACAAAUAUUGAAACUAUGCAUGACAAAGUUGAUUAUACUAGUAAUAAUACCACUCCUAACACAUGCACCAUAUGUAAUAAUUCUAAUUUUGACUAUAUAUAUAGUAAAAAAGAAAAGAAAUUUCAAUUAAAAAAUCAAUUGUUUGCUCAUACUAAACCCCCAAAUAUAAUUGAACUAAAAAAAGAUGAUAUUUGCAUAUAUAACAUUAAACUAAGAUAUAUUUAUAAUAAUAUAAAACAUUUAAUACCAUAUAAAAUAAUUUACAACAAUUCUUAUUUUUUUAAUAAGUUUAAAAAAAAAACAGACAUACCCACAGAAGCUGAUAAAAUUGUUAUAAAAAAAAAAGACAUAUUAUUAUUUCAAAAAUUAUAUAUACCAGCAAAACAAAAAAAUGACAAGUUUAUAAUCAAUAAUAAAAUAAAACAAAUAAAAAAUAUGUGGAAAGUACUAUUUAAAAGUAUACUAUAUGAAAAAAUUAAUGAAGGUGUGCGCAACAAAAGAGACAAAGCGAGGCUUAUAUAUAAAAGUAAGCAUUUUAAUCA
ensembl:lncRNA